GAUGAACGCUAGCGGGAGGCUUAACACAUGCAAGUCGAACGGUAAGGUCCCUUCGGGGAUACACGAGUGGCGCACGGGUGCGUAACGCGUACACAAUCUACCUUUAAGUGGGGAAUACUCUCUGGAAACGGAGCUUAAUACCCCAUAGUACAUUAAUAGGGCAUCCUAUAAAUGUUAAAGCUCAGGCGCUUAAAGAUGGGUGUGCGUCCCAUUAGCUAGUUGGUGAGGUAACGGCUCACCAAGGCGACGAUGGGUAGCUGUUCUGAGAGGAAGAUCAGCCACACGGGCACUGAGACACGGGCCCGACUCCUACGGGAGGCAGCAGUGAGGAAUAUUGGUCAAUGGGGGCAACCCUGAACCAGCCAUCCCGCGUGUAGGACGACUGUCCUAUGGAUUGUAAACUACUUUUCUUGGGGAAGAAAAAGCCUGAUUUAUCAGGAACUGACGGUACCCAAGGAAUAAGCACCGGCUAACUCCG
rnacentral:rRNA from 1 species